GUAGAAGUUUUAACUUGUAUUUUCAUAUCUCACCUUAUUCUCUCAUAUGCUCUAACUAAAAUGGAAUGAUGUUAUCUACCCAGCAAAAGUAAUAGAUUUGAGAAUACCUCCUGGGGACAUUUCCCAUCAGGAUUAACUCCAGCUCCAGGUGGGGUUAGGAAUACAAGAAGGAACCGUCUCUUACACCACAUGAAUUGAUAUUUUCUCUAUGAAAGGUUUUGGGGUCACUGUUGUAGGUCAAAUGUAAUGAUCUUUUUGAAAUUCUCAGCAAUGAUUUACAACAGCAUACACAAACUGGGGUGCCACUGUCAAGUCAUGGGCUGAAGCUAUAAGCAGAAAUCCACACCAGUGAGCUGAGGUGCUCUCUUCUUGGACAAGGGUCUUCACGCUGGUCUCAGGGCCUCUGCCUUCUUCUGUCGCUCCUCACAU
rnacentral:lncRNA from 1 species